UACGUAGGGACCGAGCGUUGUCCGGAAUCAUUGGGCGUAAAGAGCGUGUAGGCGGCCACUUAAGUCCUGCGUGAAAUCUUGCGGCUCAACCGCAAGCGGUCGUGGGAAACUGGGUGGCUAGAGUGCGGGAGAGGAGAGUGGAAUUCCUGGUGUAGAGGUGAAAUUCGUAGAUAUUCGGAAGAACACCAGUGGCGAAGGCGACUUACUGGACACAUAUUGACGCUGAGGUGCGAAAGCGUGGGGAGCAAACAGG
rnacentral:rRNA from 1 species